GAUGAACACUGGCGGCGUGCUUAACACAUGCAAGUCGAACGAAGCACCUUAUUCUGAUUUCUUCGGAAUGAAAAAUUUGGUGACUGAGUGGCGGACGGGUGAGUAACGCGUGGGUAACCUGCCUCAUACAGGGGGAUAACAGUUAGAAAUGACUGCUAAUACCGCAUAAGACCACAGCACCGCAUGGUGCAGGGGUAAAAACUCCGGUGGUAUGAGAUGGACCCGCGUCUGAUUAGGUAGUUGGUGGGGUAACGGCCUACCAAGCCGACGAUCAGUAGCCGACCUGAGAGGGUGAACGGCCACAUUGGGACUGAGACACGGCCCAAACUCCUACGGGAGGCAGCAGUGGGGAAUAUUGCACAAUGGGGGAAACCCUGAUGCAGCGACGCCGCGUGAGCAAUGAAGUAUUUCGGUAUGUAAAGCUCUAUCAGCAGGGAAGAAAAUGACGGUACCUGACUAAGAAGCACCGGCUAAAUACGUGCCAGCAGCCGCCGUAA
rnacentral:rRNA from 1 species